rnacentral:rRNA from 1 species
GUAGGUGGCAAGCGUUGUCCGGAAUUAUUGGGCGUAAAGCGCGCGCAGGCGGUUCUUUAAGUCUGAUGUGAAAGCCCACGGCUCAACCGUGGAGGGUCAUUGGAAACUGGAGAACUUGAGUACAGAAGAGGAAAGCGGAAUUCCACGUGUAGCGGUGAAAUGCGUAGAGAUGUGGAGGAACACCAGUGGCGAAGGCGGCUUUCUGGUCUGUAACUGACGCUGAGGCGCGAAAGCGUGGGGGAGCAAACAGGAUUAGAUACCCUGGUAGUCCACGCCGUAAACGAUGAGUGCUAAGUGUUAGGGGGUUUCCGCCCCUUAGUGCUGCAGCUAACGCAUUAAGCUCUCCGCCUGGGAGUACGGCCGCAAGGCUG